GCAAGUCGAGGGGUAACAGGGAGUGCUUGCACUCCGCUGACGACCGGCGCACGGGUGCGCACCGCGUAUGGAACCUGCCUCAUGCAGGGGAAUAGCCCAUGGAGACGUGGAUUAAUGCCCCAUAGUACCUUUAUACGGCAUUGUAUUAAGGUUAAAGGCUUCGGCCGGCAAGAGAUGGCCAUGCGUCCCAUUAGCUGGAUGGUAAGGUAACGGCUUACCAUGGCUACGAUGGGUAGCUGGUCUGAGAGGAUGAUC
rnacentral:rRNA from 1 species